rnacentral:rRNA from 1 species
UGGCUCAGAUUGAACGCUGGCGGCAGGCCUAACACAUGCAAGUCGAGCGGCAGCACGGGUACUUGUACCUGGUGGCGAGCGGCGGACGGGUGAGUAAUGCCUAGGAAUCUGCCUGGUAGUGGGGGAUAACGUUCGGAAACGAACGCUAAUACCGCAUACGUCCUACGGGAGAAAGCAGGGGACCUUCGGGCCUUGCGCUAUCAGAUGAGCCUAGGUCGGAUUAGCUAGUUGGUGAGGUAAUGGCUCACCAAGGCGACGAUCCGUAACUGGUCUGAGAGGAUGAUCAGUCACACUGGAACUGAGACACGGUCCAGACUCCUACGGGAGGCAGCAGUGGGGAAUAUUGGACAAUGGGCGAAAGCCUGAUCCAGCCAUGCCGCGUGUGUGAAGAAGGUCUUCGGAUUGUAAAGCACUUUAAGUUGGGAGGAAGGGCAGUUACCUAAUACGUAAUUGUUUUGACGUUACCGACAGAAUAAGCACCGGCUAACUCUGUGCCAGCAGCCGCGGUAAUACAGAGGGUGCAAGCGUUAAUCGGAAUUACUGGGCGUAAAGCGCGCGUAGGUGGUUCGUUAAGUUGGAUGUGAAAUCCCCGGGCUCAACCUGGGAACUGCAUUCAAAACUGUCGAGCUAGAGUAUGGUAGAGGGUGGUGGAAUUUCCUGUGUAGCGGUGAAAUGCGUAGAUAUAGGAAGGAACACCAGUGGCGAAGGCGACCACCUGGACUGAUACUGACACUGAGGUGCGAAAGCG